rnacentral:rRNA from 1 species
UACGACUACAUAUCAGGCAUAUCAAUAAGCGGAGGAAAAGAAACUAACAAGGAUUCCCUUAGUAACGGCGAGUGAAGCGGGAAGAGCUCAAAUUUGAAAUCUUCAAGGCUUUACCUUGACGAAUUGUAGUUUAAAGAAGUGUUUUCUGUUGAAGUUUUGGUAAAAGUUCUUUGGAAUAGGACAUCAUAGAGGGUGAGAAUCCCGUAUUUGACCAGUUAUCUUCAGCUGUGUGAUACACUUUCAAAGAGUCGGAUUGUUUGGGAAUGCAGUCCAAAAUGGGUGGUAAAUUUCAUCUAAAGCUAAAUAUUGGCGAGAGACCGAUAGCGAACAAGUACCGUGAGGGAAAGAUGAAAAGAACUUUGAAAAGAGAGUUAAACAGUACGUGAAAUUGUCAAAAGGGAAGCGUUUGACACCAGUGUUGUUUUCUCGAAAAUCAAUUAAAAAGAGUUGGAUUUUGUGUUGUAUUGACCUUAACAGCUUGCUUCACUCUUUUCCAGCUUUUUUUAAUGCACUUUUCGUUUAACAAGUCAACAUCAGUUUCUUUUGUUGUAAAAGGGUCAUUGGAAGGUGGCUUUCUCUUCGGAGAAAGUGUUUAUAGCCUUUGAUCUCUGCAAUCGGAGAGACUGAGGUCUGCAGCGUAGAUCCUUCGGGGUUAGAUACAUUUGUGCUAAGCUACAGCUUUUCAUAGACAACUUGUUGACUAUGUUUAGUCUUGUGACUUACCCGCUUAUGCUAUUUUACCUACGCUUAGGAUGUUGAGCGCAUGUCCUCUCUCU